UUCGACUCGUUUAAAAGUGAUCCACUCAAAAUUGAAAAAAAAAAAUCACAUCAGAUUAGAUUAUCCAAUCAAAUUUGGGAUGAGCUUAGAUCACCCAGCCUAGAAUAGAUACUAAACCCUGCAAUCUCUUUUCUUCCUGAAAUCCUAAUACUUAAUUUGGUUCUACACUAGGAUUCACUUUUCUCUCAAUCUCCUAAUCAUCCCUCAUCUUCUUCGAGCUCACAACAUCACCUAGAAAGGCACCAUCACUAGCUUCCCUCUACUAUCUUUUUCUCCCAUUCUCCGUGCUUCUCGCUGUGCCCCUAGAACCACCCAUCACCUUCGUCUCUUAUCAACAUCUUCUUCUCAUCGCUUCUUUUUAUUGUUUGGCUACUUGCAAUUCACCCAUUGCUCGUGCUACUCGUCUCUUAUUGCUUCGUUACCCACUCGUUGGAUCUCAAGGUCUCAUCUCAUCGUGCCACCAUGUUGUCAUCUUAUGCUCUCAUCUCACGUUUUUCUCACAACGACCCCUUCUACCCCCUCUCUCUCUCGCAGUAUCAAAUUUGGAUUCUAAUGGAGAUGAGAAAGCGUGGAGAUAGCGAUUGGUGAGUAGCGGAUGUGGUUUUUUUCUAUACCGAUGAUGUAUGACUCUUUGGACCUCGCCUUAAGUUCGUUUAGGCCCUACAUUAGCUUGAGUAAGUGUAAAAUAUCAGUGUCUGAAGAAAAAAUAUUAAAUCGGUUUAUUAUUGUUGUAGCACCUCUCAACACCAAACUUCUACAAUCAAAUUUAGAAAGGGGUAAAGGUUCUUUAACUCU